rnacentral:rRNA from 1 species
ACGCACGCUGGCGGCGUGCUUAACACAUGCAAGUCGAACGGAAAGGCCCUGCUUUUGUGGGGUGCUCGAGUGGCGAACGGGUGAGUAACACGUGAGUAACCUGCCCUUGACUUUGGGAUAACUUCAGGAAACUGGGGCUAAUACCGGAUAGGAGCUCCUGCUGCAUGGUGGGGGUUGGAAAGUUUCGGCGGUUGGGGAUGGACUCGCGGCUGAUCAGCUUGUUGGUGGGGUAGUGGCUUACCAAGGCUUUGACGGGUAGCCGGCCUGAGAGGGUGACCGGCCACAUUGGGACAGAGAUACGGCACAGAGUACUACGGGAGGCAGCAGUGGGGAAGAUUGCAUGAUGGGCGGAAGCCUGAUGCAGCAACGCCGCGUGAGGGAUGACGGCCUUCGGGUUGUAAACCGUUUUCGCCUGUGACGAAGCGUGAGUGACGGUAAUGGGUAAAGAAGCACCGGCUAACUACGUG